rnacentral:lncRNA from 1 species
GAGGUGUAUAUUUUGAUAUACUACUUCGAUUCUCAAAUAGAUUAUUUCUAUAUGUUUCAUUUAAUGAUAUGAAGCUAUAGACACUCCCAGCCCAUUGAUUGGAUGGUUAGAUUGAAUUUUUAUUCCUUAGAUCCCAUUUUUGGACUCGAAUCUAAAUAUCUAAAGUUUUUAAAUAUAAAAAUUUAAAAUAAAAAAAAUAAUAAUAA